UGGAGGCUGUAGUGAGCUGUGGUCAUGCCACUGCUCUCCAGCCUGGGCAACAGAGCAAGACCCUGACUCUAAAAAGCAAACAAACAAACAAAAGGGCAGGCUGAUCAUACCUGAAAAAUGUGAUUGGUACCAAGAAACAGAGCUGUAAAACCUGUACCGAAUCCAUAAACCAGGAACCCAGACUAGCCACCUUAACCCUUACAUAGAUCUGGACAGCUGUGGAAAUAAACCAGGAGGGUGGCCUCAAGGAGUACUGGGCUUUCCAGAACCUUCUGGAACCUUCUGGAAGCCUGAGGAGGAGCAGGAUAGAGGUCUCUGGCCCGCUGUGGGCAGUUGAGUAAUCCCCCCGAUUCCUGGCCCCUUAGGCAGUUAGCCACCCACUCUCGAUUACAGGCGUGAGCCACCACACCUGGCCUGGUUAUCUUUGAUUAUGUUCCAGACUUUAUAUUUGAAAAUUGUUCAUAGAAGUAACUUGAGCCUGAAAGAAUGUUGUCUAUUUAUCUUCAGAGAGGAUUUUCUUUUCCUUCUGUUGGACACUGAGGGUGACCAGCAGUCUAGGGCAAUCUUGGAAAUGGAGCUUUCUGGAGCACCCAGCCAAACUGAAGGUGUGCUGCAGCCAGUGUGAGGCUUGGUUUACUUCUUCUGGUUCAUGCUUUUUUUUUUUUUUUUUUUUUAAAAGCAGUCUCACCCUAUUGCCCAGGCUGGAGUGCAAUGGUGCGAUCUCAGCUCACUGCAACCUCCGCCUCCCGGGUUCAAGCGAUUCUCCUGCCUCAGCUUCCCAAGUAGCUGGGAUUAUAGGCGCCCACCACCAUACCUGGCUAAUUUUUGUAUUUUUAGUGGAUAUGGAGUUUCACCACGUUGGUCAGGCUGGUCUCGAACUCCUGACCACAAGUGAUCCACCCUCCUCGGCCCCCCAAAGUGCUGGGAUUACAGGCGUGAGCCACCACACCUGGACUGGUUCAUCCUUAAGUCUUGGAUGCAGCCCUUUGGGGUUCUAACCACAAGUACAGAGAGGUUUGCCAGGGCCUGAUUCUUGGUAGGUACCCAAGUCGCCAAAGCCCUGGUCAGCGUCUCAGUCAUGUGAUCUGGAUGUAGGUCUCUCUGACCUGCAUCCUCUCAUCUCUCUGAUCUGAAUGAACUCUCUGAUGUG
rnacentral:lncRNA from 1 species